UGACAAAAGCAGGGAAACGUUUAUCACGG
rnacentral:sRNA from 1 species